rnacentral:sRNA from 1 species
UCGAGUGAUGCCAUCGGCCCCUGGGUAA